GAGGAGCUACAGCAGAGGAUAUGGGGGAAGGGUCUGCACCUGGCAAGGCCCCACAAAGUCCUGCUCAGUUAGAGUUAGGAGUACAAGAGGUUUAGUGAGGGGGUGAUGUCUGUGAGAAAUAAAAGGGAGAAGAAGCAGGCUUGGGCUGGGAAAGCCCCAGACUGCUAAAGAGAUUUGACCUUAUCAGUUAACCCAGUUAGAAGUUCUAAAGUAACUGCUACCCUCAGAGCAGUCCCAUCUUAGCAGAAAUGACUAUGUCCCCAUCUCCGUGCCCUGCUGAGUCACUGGCUGGGAGUCUCUAGGAAUGAACCUGGCCAAGAUGCAAAAGCCUAGGUGAAGCCUGGGGGUGCCAACAGUGGUAAGGCGUCAGCUCAGCACAAUCCUUGUAGCUGUCGCUCUAGCAGCUGCAGCUUCUCAGUAGAAUCAGGAGAGGGCGCCCACGGACCUGUCUUUGCCUCGCUCCUAGCAAAGCCUCGCGACCGGGUUUCCUUACCCUGCAGCUGGGAUCUUAAUUCCAAGACCAGGGACCAAAUCCACGUCCCCUACAUUGGAAGGUGGAUUCCUAACUACUGGAUCACCAGGGAAGUCCCUCUUGAACAAAGUUGGUGAGGGGCACGCAGCAAACAAUAGCAACCGAGGACCUGCCUCAACCUGGUUCCUGGGGCCGUCGGUAGCCCCGAGAAGAGCGAAAGGCCCAAUAGCAGCUAAUAUUGUAUCAAUACUUGCCCAUCCUGGUGAGAGGGAAAACAUAUCUGGAUUCAGUUUGAAUAUUUGAAAACUUACCUUUUCUGUAUCUUAUUUGUGAGGAGACAGGUUCAUAAGCUUUAUAAACAAACACAAAACAAAGCCUUGUAGAGCCCCAAUUCAUCUAAGAACCUCUUUGUUGUUGUCGUUCAGCUGCUAAGUUCUGUCCAACUCUUUACGACCCCGUGGACUGCAGCACUGCCAGGCUUCCCCGUCCUCCACCAUCUCCCAGAGUUUGCUCAAACUCAUGUCCGUUGAAUCAGUGUUGCCAUCCAACCAUUUCAUCCUCUGUCGCCUCGCUCUCCUUCUAGUCUCAAUCUUUCCUAGCAUCAGUGUUUCCUAAGAACCUCUAGUUUGCCCUUUUUCAUUAAUAAGAUUUAAUCUAAAAAUGGGAACCAGGAACACCUCACUAUUACCAGGUGACACAUGAAGUGACUUUUGCUGACGGUGUGAGUUCUCCUUGAUAUUUACCGAGACUCCCUUAGUGAAUACUUGGCGCUGUGUUUAGGUCAGAAAAUAUAAAUCAUGUAAGUAAAACACUGUUGUUUGCCUUUUUUUUUAAUGUAGGAAAAGGAUAAUCAGUUUUAUUUGAUGGGCUAUGCAGGUUCUAAACUAUUGAUGACUCAUUAUA
ensembl:lncRNA